GAUGAACGCUGGCGGCGUGCCUAAUACAUGCAAGUCGAGCGAACGGACGAGAAGCUUGCUUCUCUGAUGUUAGCGGCGGACGGGUGAGUAACACGUGGAUAACCUACCUAUAAGACUGGGAUAACUUCGGGAAACCGGAGCUAAUACCGGAUAAUAUUGUGAACCGCAUGGUUCAAAAGUGAAAGACGGUCUUGCUGUCACUUAUAGAUGGAUCCGCGCUGCAUUAGCUAGUUGGUAAGGUAACGGCUUACCAAGGCAACGAUGCAUAGCCGACCUGAGAGGGUGAUCGCCCACACUGGAACUGAGACCCGGUCCAGACUCCUACGGGAGGCAGCAGUAGGGAAUCUUCCGCAAUGGGCGAAAGCCUGACGGAGCAACGCCGCGUGAGUGAUGAAGGUCUUCGGAUCGUAAAACUCUGUUAUUAGGGAAGAACAUAUGUGUAAGUAACUGUGCACAUCUUGACGGUACCUAAUCAGAAAGCCACCGCUAACUACGUG
rnacentral:rRNA from 1 species